rnacentral:rRNA from 1 species
GUGCAAGCGUUGUCCGGAAUUAUUGGGCGUAAAGAGCUCGUAGGCGGUCUGUCGCGUCGGCUGUGAAAACCCGAGGCUCAACCUCGGGCCUGCAGUCGAUACGGGCAAACUAGAGUACUGCAGGGGAGACUGGAAUUCCUGGUGUAGCGGUGAAAUGCGCAGAUAUCAGGAGGAACACCGGUGGCGAAGGCGGGUCUCUGGGCCGAUACUGACGCUGAGGAGCGAAAGCGUGGGGAGCGAACAGG